CCUUCAGAGGCUCCAUCCGUUUGGCUAAAAUAUAGCCUUGAUCAGGCAAUCAUCCAUCAAUCAUCUGCUCCUCCACCCUAUCUCUCGAUUUGAUGAUAUUCCUAGACCAGCGAGCAUUCAUUCCGCCUGGAUCCCGAGUCCUUGGUCUCGAGUCCAGUGCCCCACAUGGUGAGCCGAGCGAUAUGUCACCGUUCUUGGCGCCGAUUUCUUCAAUUAGUUAGUUGACUUGUGGUGACAUACCAGCGACGUGAGCAGCACAGAUACUCUAACAUCCGGAUUGUCAACUCCAGCGGAUGAAAUCUGUGUUUUAUUUUAUUUUGUUUUCUUUUGAGUUGGUCCUACAGAGAAUCAUGUCUACUCCCACUAGUAAUAAUGAUGACUCUCCCAAAUCACAAAGGAAGAGCCGUGCCCACACCCUCACGCGGGUGCGCAACAACCAGCGCCGUUGUCGCGAGCGGCGUCGCCAGUAUAUAGCUGCCUUGGAACAAAGGGUUGAAGAAACAGGACGUCUGCUUGAAGAGGCUCGUGCAGAGAUUGACAG
rnacentral:sRNA from 2 species